GCGAACGUUUUUACCUGGUUAAAAGUUUGCAUUGCGUCUCCGUGGCUUCAGCAAACACAUCAAUUCAUCAAACGAUAAGACUUUAUGAACCUGUGGGAAAACGAAAGUGACGGCUACGAUAACGAUAUUGUCGAUUUUUGUACUCGACACCUAAAUGUUUCCCACAUUGAGUUCCAACACCGAAUGGAAAGGAUUAAUUGUAAUAACAAUAACUGUGCGUUCAAUAGUCUGUUCUCUGCAGUUGAAUAUAUUAUCAGUCCAAAUUUAUUAUGAUCACACUUGGUAUCAAGAUGAACUACAGUUCAACUGAUCACCAAAAUAUUAAACCUUUCACUUAUUAAAAAGAUUGGCUUGCAGCAUGAAGGUUAAAUAACUUGGAUAAGCACUCAAGGACAAUAAAAUUAAGCGAUCGAUUUUCGGCAUUUUUCCGUCACCAUACCGACCUAUUGUGCCAUAUCUGUGUAAACCUUCUAAGCUAUGGGAUUAUUUACCGGCAAUUGAAAAGUCUAUUGUAGUCUUAUCUUAUCACAACUACCUCUGAUAGCCGGACAGUCAUGUGCUCGAGUUCAUCCAAACUUUGAUUGGUUACAAUGCAAUCAGUCUGUACAGCCGCCACUUUCAGUUUCCAAACGAGAAAAUUCAAAUUCGACAACGCCAGGAGCUUUGGACGUUACGCAGGUUACGUUCUCAAUACAAUCUCUAUCAGGAAAUCAUUGUCCGGUUGAAUGCGAAUCGAAAAUAUGGUGCACAAUAGCGCGCUGAAAGCAAAAGUGGCUGCUUAGUGAAGGGUAUCAAGUUUGGAUUUCUACUUGUUUAGAAAGAAUUUAAAAAUACUUCUCAUUUUUCAUCUCAAUAUGGAUUUUGUAAUGAUGAUUAUUGCAGAAAAACAAAGGAAUCACUCUGGAAUAUGGAAGAAAGGACCAUGGAAUAAAUCAACAAAGGACUAUAAGGGCGAAUAUCGAAUAUCGUUAUAUUAUAAUCUUCGUUGACGUUGACACCUAGUGGUGUGAUAAUGCCUUUCUCUUUAAUAGAAACAGUCUCAUUAAAAACCUGUUUUAAUUCACCUAGUGGUGUAAUGAUGCCUUUCUCAUUUCAAACAUACUAUCAUAUAUAAUACUGUGGUAUUCUUCCAAACAGAAUUCUUCGAUUCUUGAAAGAUUAACCGGAAUAGGUUUAGUUGAUCAUUUGCAGAUGUCGGAUACGGGUGAAAUUCUGGAAUCCCGUACAAGACCACAGGAUCCAAAAUCCAUUAAAUCCAAAGUUUGUGAAAAUUGGUCAAACCAUCAUCACUGAGAAAAGUAUUAGAGAAAAUAUGACCACUAUGUAUUUCCUGUGCCAGGAUAGCCAAAAUCAGUUUUUUUGGCCGUCUACUAACAAUGACUAUCGAAUGGAGAGUAUUUUAAGAGCCACUAGCUUUGGCAGAUUGAUGGCUAUCCCAUCCGUGCCUUUUGAAAAAUGAAGAAGUUACAACUAAAACAGUUAACGGGUGCAUGCAAAUGAUCAAGUUCUUCUCGUUGUAAUUCGGAAACCGUUCAUCGUACAAAAAUGGCGUCCAGGAAGAAGUUGUAGGGAAUCAAUAGGGCACUCUGAAAAAAGAAAUGAUUUUUUUCUCAAUAAUUUCAA